GGGCCAAGGGAGAAUGGACUGUCCCACCGGCUUUGUUUAAAACGGAACACUCCCAAGAUCUGAGCCUCAAGACCGACAGGUGCUGAGCAGCACCGGGAAGUCCAUGGAGGACUCGGCCACACUCCCUCACGGGCACCUGCACACUCCCAGCCAGUCCUCCCACGGACAUGCGACCUCCAAGACAAUUCAGCUCAAGGACGCGUCUUCACCUUUCCGAGACCAUGACCGACAUACACGAGCGCCAUGAGAAAGAGGCAGCGCAAAAGGCAGAAUGUAAUCUGAAACCAGGUAAUUGCAUAAAUGAUGGAUGGCCGUC